CCUGUCCGCAACAGUGGAAGAGCUUGGGGUUGAACAGUUUGAAUAUCAUGGAGGAUCGCAGACUUUUGUCUUCUGGAAUUAGGCCAUCACAUGCCAAAAAGGCCACCAGGGAAUCCAUUUCUUCUUUACAAGACAGGAAAUAGGAAGUUUUCACAUAAGAGUAUUCAGUGGAAUUCAGGUCCAAUUCUUUAUCCACUAUACCAUCUAAUCACCUUGAAUGGGAGGCAGAGAUAUGGAAAUGCACAGUUCUACUUUUUUUGAAGUGUUGGAAGAUUAUGAAUGAAGAAUGUUGUGUGUGUUGUCAGAUGUAGUUGUUUUUUUUUCCAUAUGGUAUUGUUUUAAAGUUUUUCUUUUUAGUGAGUAUUCAGUAGGUGGGGCAAUACAUCCAGAAAAUAGAACAACAGGGGGCAGCUGGGUGGCUCAGUGGAUUGAGAACCAGGCCCAGAAAUGAGUCCCUAGGUUCAAAUCUGGCCUCAGACACUUCCCAGCUGUGUGACCCUGGGCAAGUCACUUAACCCCCAUUGCCUAGCCCUUAUCACUCUUCUGCCUUGGAACCAAUACACAGUAUUGAUUCCAAGAAGGAAGGUAGGGAUAUUAAAAAAAUAGAAUAACACAUUAAUUUAAAAAAAAAACACAAAUGCUACACAAUUUCUCAAAUAAAAAAUAUCCCAGUUUUUUCUACAUUUACAGUCUUGGGCUAAUAUUAUCAUUCAUUCAUCCUGUGACCUUCCAAGACAUAGGUAAUUAUGUCUAAAUCAAUGGUUUACUUAUCUAAUUUUAUGUCAUAGGAUAAACAAUAACAAAAAUGCAAACUUAAACAACUUUAACAUUUUAACUCUCACCAAAUAUUGAAGAGACUAUGAGAAUAGAAGCACAUUGAUAUCCACUUAAUUUUUAACCCAUUACCCUUUCCUGUGCAGAUUAUUUGUUGAACCUUUUGUGUGCUUAUAGAUCAAAAUGAGUACACUAUUAUUUAAGCACUUGAUGCAAUCAUUCAAAACCUUCCAGAGGACUUCCGGGUUAACAUGGCUGCAAUCUAGACUCAAAUCGCUUCCUCUCCCCAGCACCGAACGAAAUAGACUACCUCAAAAGAGCAUAAAAAUCACCUUUGGAAGAACAGAGGGACUCUCCAGUACCCCACAGAAACGAAGGUACGUGGGGCUUGAACAUUUCCACACUAUAAGGAGGAGGAAAAACUUGCACAAAAACCGUGAACUGAGCAGCCCCUCCCUCCCCAGCCCCCCACCA